UGACACCUUCUGGACAGAGAUCGGUACUACACUUAGCGUUCGUGUCCUUGUUUGAUGACAUCAAUAGUGUGAGUCUAGCAGUAAUACCGAAGAGCACAUUGUCAUGGCUGAUAUCGAUGCCUGAUUUAAGUUGAUUUGAAGGCACAUUCAUUUUACGUCAUUCCAUAAGCAACAGUAAAAGCUAGAUAUUACUUCCUGAGUCUGUUGUCUUUUGGGAAACUUCAUCUGACUGCCGAGUCAAGCAAGGCGUUUGAUGCAGAACAAUGGGAUAAUAAAGAUAUAUUGCAUGUUACAUGCAUGUGUAUGGCAGACAGAUUAAACUGAACAGGAGGCUGACCUGAUUUCCCCCAACUGGUGUUUCACUCCCCAAGAAAGCGCAACAGCAGUGAAUUUGUUUGUGUUAAGACACUUUCUGCAGACAAACUGGUAGACAUAAUAUCGCAUCCAUCAGAUACGGAAACAACUGAGUCAACUGAAGUAACAGCAGCUGGUCCGCAAAGAGAAAGUUCAAUAGCAUCAAGUCUGCAGCAAGAUUUACCAUGUAGAUUGUAUUUUUUCACUGGGGUUGGCGACAAAACAAGGAUUAUUAACUUAUCUAAGGUGUCAUUAGCCCUUGGCACCAGUGUAUGUCGGCACUCAUUGGUACCCAGAACUUCUCUGACUGUGACUCUACAAGUGCCUUCUAUGGCAAAUGAAAAAAAAGUAAUUUUCUUUUGCUUGUGGGAAAGAGAAAUACCUGACUGCAUUUAGAAAACUGGGUAGCAGUUUUAACUUGGAGCAGCCUACCUUUGAAGUACUUUGCAAAUAUGUGUGUCACCUGUAUGAGCAGCCAUGUGGCAAAAGUGAGAACGAUGUAAGAUGCAAGCAUUCUGCAUGGCAUUGUCAGCUUUGCAAGAACGAUCCAUGCUUCCAACAAGUGAUGCCCUGUACCAACACUACCAAGCAGCCAUAAGCAUGAGACAUUCUCUUAAAAGGUAUAAUGUGUGCCCCUUCACCUGUUGGAAAUGGAUGGCACAUCGAGGAUGGGGAGUUCACAGUGACCUGGAUGACUAGAAAUCUGGCCCCCGAGAGUGUGUUGCAGGACGUCCACUACAGUUGCAAACAAAGCAAAUGUGAGACUGGAAGAUGUUCUUGUAUGUCUGCAAAAUUGUCUUGUACAGAUCUAUGUUUCCCCAGAAACAGAGUUAUGGGGAUGUUAGUGAUGAGGAAUGUUGAGCUGGGUCAUAUUUCAGGUUUAUUGGAGCAGUAAUGAAUCUGCUGUAAAAUUGUACAAUUUUGGCAUUUUUGAAAAAUCAGGGCAGCAGAGAAGAAUUUUGA